UGCGCCGCCAUCGUCGUAGGCCGAUUCCGACCGGCUGCGGCGAGGCCUCGCGCCCCCGACCUCCAUCCGCUCCCCCUCGCUCUCUCACAUGGCGUGGAGCCUCCGAUCUGUAGCCCCCACCCUCCGAUGAACCUUAGACAAGCAGAAUCCAGUCUCGCCGGCGCCGCCCCAUGGCGACGUCCCCGAGCUUUUGCCGCCGGCCAUCUCUAUGGCAUGCUUCUGCCAGUCACCUCCCCAACCAUCUGCUGCCCGACACCCAAAGUGGAAAUAACUACAGGGAUUAUUUGUUGCGGAGGUCAGAGCGGCCGGAGCUCGUUGACAGGUGGCGGCCACAAUGGCGUUCUUGCUGGCGCAGACGUCACGCCACAUGCCCUGCUGCUCAUGUAUCCCUCCCUGCCCCGAUCUAGCUGACGACAAGGCUUGAGCUUUGGCAUCCAUGGCGUCGAUGGCGUGGCAGCUGGUGGUGGCAACGUGGCACGGUGACUGGCUGGACCACAUGGAGCUGAUGCUGGUCUCCUCGGAGCUUACAGGAGAAAAGGCAAGGUGCUUUGCCAGCAGGGUGUGGCCCUACAUGGGGCCUCAUUGGGGUUUUUGUGCAGAUCGUCAUGCACAACCAAAAGAAGGCAAUAUUUUGAAUAUUCAAAGCAUGAAUCUGUUGUUCAGAAAUUAGCCAACCGGGUCCCUGACCCUGUGUCCUAAAGUGCAGCAUUUAUAAUUUGAUGUAGCUGCAUGGCACUCUGGAGGCGAGAUUAACACUGGCUGCUUCGUCCCUGAUUCGAUGGCUCGGCCGACUGCGAGCUUUUCUUGAGCAGAGAAUUCCACUAGCAUUCUGUCAGUACCUUCAGAGUCAUCCAACUGGAUUGAUGUCCCUGAAAGGUCAAAGUGGUAACACAUGGCCUGCAAAGCUUUGUUUAGACACUGAAGGGUUAUUCUUUGGACAUGGGUGGAAGGAAUUUGUUAUGGAUCAUUCCAUAGAGCCAGGACACAUUUUAACCUUCUCUUAUGAUGGACACUCACAAUUCUCGGUGGCGGUAUUUGAUGGACUCUGUAUUGAGAAGUCAUCAGCUUUUCAUGCUAAGUCUUCAAACGAUCUGGUUUGUACAAUAGAAAGUGAUGAAGAGGACAAUGAUAUAUCGGCUGGUUUGAUGGACUCUGUAUUGAGAAGUCAUCAGCUUUUCAUGCUAAGCCUUCAAACGAUCUGGUUUGUACAAUAGAAAGUGAUGAAGAGGACAAUGAUAUAUCGGCUGCUUUAGUUGAUUAAAAAUCAGCAAGUCUUAAGAGUACUGAAGAGAGUUCCACCAGCAUUCUGUCAGUACCUUCAGAAUCAUCCAACUGGAUUGAUAUCCCUGAAAGGUCAAAGUGGUAACGCAUGGCCUGCAAAGCUUUCUUCAGACACUGAAGGGUUAUUCUUUGGAAAUGGGUGGAAGGAAUUUGUUAUCGAUCAUUCCAUAGAGUCAGGACACAUUUUAACCUUCUCUUAUGAUGGGCACUCACAAUUCUCGGUGGUGGUAUUUGAUGGACUCUGUAUUGAGAAGUCAUCAGCUUUUAAUGCUAAGCCUUCAAACAAUCUGUUUUGUAUAAUAGAAACUGAUGAAGAUGACAAUGAUAUAUCGGCUGCUUCAGUUCAUUACAACUCAUUAAGCCUUAACAGUACUGAAGAUUCUGAUUCACCAAACCGCGUGUUAGAAGAAAGUGUCCCUCACAAAGAUUAUUUGAAGUUUUCACCGAUGUUCAGAAUUUCUAAGGAAGUGAUGAAUCUGGCAAAACUGUUGUGAAAGUCCAACGAGGACCAGAAGCAAUGUUGCAAAGGCUGCCAGUAAGUGAAGAUCAGAAGAACUACACUCUUCAAAAGGCAAUGAAAUAUAAAUCGAAGUACCCUACAACUCUGGAAAUAAUGAAGGACACUAAUGCCUACAAGACAUUUUUUUCGAGAUUAUUCCGAGUGAUUUUGUGAGGGAUUAUCUUCCCCACACCGACAAGAAGUUGACACUCUGGGAUGAACAAGGAAAGGCUUGGGAAGUUAGCUAUGUCUAUUGCAGCAAUCAUUCCUCUGGCGGUUUUAGUAAGGGCUGGGGUGUGUUUUCUCGGGGUAAUCAUCCGGAGAAGUUUGACGUGUGCGUCUUCGAGCUCUUCUCCUAGGACAACAUAGAAGUACACGUCUACAAAGCUAACCCCGGACUAACUCCGUACACCCUACAGUCGAACAACUAGAUAGUAGGAGUGCUGCAGCUCCAUAUUUGACCUGCAACUCUAGCUAGUAGUCCAAUAGGACUGUUCGGAUGGUGAGAGAGAUUUGAAAUAAAUGACUCCCUGAUAAACAAGGUUUUUUUUUGUGUCGAUCAAAUUGUUGGAUCCUGUUGUAUCAGUGCAAGAAUUAAUAUUGUUGCAGGUUUGCUGCCGUUCCAUUGCUGCAGUAUAUGUACAAUGCA